rnacentral:rRNA from 1 species
CAGCAGUGGGGAAUCUUGGACAAUGGGGGCAACCCCGAUCCAGCAAUGCCGCGUGUGGGAAGAAGGCCUUCGGGUUGUAAACCACUUUUGGCAGGGAAGAAAUUGGCCGGGUUAAUACCCUGGCUGGAUGACGGUACCUGCAGAAUAAGCACCGGCUAACUACGUA